AGAGUUUGAUCCUGGCUCAGGAUGAACGCUGGCGGCGUGCCUAACACAUGCAAGUCGAGCGAAGCACUUUAAUUCGAUUCUUCGGAUGAAGAUUUUUGUGACUGAGCGGCGGACGGGUGAGUAACGCGUGGGCAACCUGCCUUACACAGGGGGAUAACAGUUAGAAAUGACUGCUAAUACCGCAUAAGACCGCAGUACCGCAUGGUACAGCGGUAAAAACUCCGGUGGUGUAAGAUGGGCCCGCGUCUGAUUAGGUAGUUGGCGGGGUAACGGCCCACCAAGCCGACGAUCAGUAGCCGACCUGAGAGGGUGACCGGCCACAUUGGGACUGAGACACGGCCCAGACUCCUACGGGAGGCAGCAGUGGGGAAUAUUGCACAAUGGGGGAAACCCUGAUGCAGCGACGCCGCGUGAGCGAUGAAGUAUUUCGGUAUGUAAAGCUCUAUCAGCAGGGA
rnacentral:rRNA from 1 species